AUGACCUAUGAUUUGACAGAC
rnacentral:piRNA from 1 species